AGGACGAACGCUGGCGGCGUGCUUAACACAUGCAAGUCGAACGGUGAAGCCCUUUCGGGGUGGAUCAGUGGCGAACGGGUGAGUAACACGUGAGCAACCUGCCCUUGACUCUGGGAUAACUUCGGAAACCGGAGCUAAUACCGGAUAUGACACGCGGAUGCAUCUCCUGUGUGUGGAAAGAUUUAUUGGUCAAGGAUGGGCUCGCGGCCUAUCAGCUAGUUGGUGGGGUAAUGGCCUACCAAGGCGACGACGGGUA
rnacentral:rRNA from 1 species